rnacentral:tRNA from 2 species
GGAGAGGUGUCCGAGAGGCUGAAGGAACGCGACUGGAAAUCGCGUAUACGGGCAACCGUAUCGGGGGUUCGAAUCCCCCCCUCUCCG